UACGUAGGUGGCAAGCGUUGUCCGGAUUUAUUGGGUUUAAAGGGUGCGUAGGCGGUCUUAUAAGUCAGUGGUGAAAUACGGCAGCUCAACUGUCGAGGUGCCAUUGAUACUGUAGGACUUGAGUACAGACGAGGUAGGCGGAAUUGACGGUGUAGCGGUGAAAUGCUUAGAUAUCGUCAAGAACACCGAUAGCGAAGGCAGCUUACUAGGCUGUAACUGACGCUGAGGCUCGAAAGCGUGGGGAUCAAACAGG
rnacentral:rRNA from 1 species